rnacentral:rRNA from 1 species
GUAGUUGAUCCGUGCUCAGGACACGCUGGCGGCGUGCUUAACACAUGCAAGUCGAACGAUGAUGCCCAAGCUUGCUUGGGUGGAUUAGUGGCGAGCGGGUGAGUAACACGUGGGUGAUCUGCCCCGCACUUCGGGAUAAGCCUGGGAAACUGGGUCUAAUACCGGAUAUGACCCCCUGGUAGGCAGGGGUGGAAAGAUUUAUCGGUGUGGGAUGAGCCUGCGGCCUAUCAGCUUGUUGGUGGGGUAAUGGCCUACCAAGGCGUCGACGGGUAGCCGGCCUGAGAGGGUGAUCGGCCACAUUGGGACUGAGACACGGCCCAGACUCCUACGGGAGGCAGCAGUGGGGAAUAUUGCACAAUGGGCGCAAGCCUGAUGCAGCGACGCCGCGUGGGGGAUGACGGCCUUCGGGUUGUAAACUCCUUUCGACAGGGACGAAGCUUUAUUGUGACGGUACCUGUAGAAGAAGCACCGGCUAACUACGUG